ACUGAUGUUUCUCUUCAUAUAAAUAUUUCGCCUUUUACUAAAGAUCUCAGUGUAGAGGAACACUAUGAUUACUGACUAUUUUUUGAUGUCCUGCUUCACUGUAGGAUG
ensembl:snRNA U5 U5 spliceosomal RNA